UACUCGGCCGCUGUGGCCUGGUGCCUCUGGUUCUCCGACAGCAUCUUCUCCUGCUCGGCCUUCAAAACCUUCUCCAGCUCCUCCAGCUGUGCCUUCUGCUUCAGCAGCUGGUUAUACCUGCGCACACCACACAGGAGGUCUCGGUGCUGCACUUCCAGGCUCUUGUGUGCGCUCUUCAGACCCCCGUGUUUGCCGAUCAGGGCCUCGUACUCGGCCGCCUGGCGCUCGUGCAGAGCCGCGAGCUUCUCGUGAUCCCUCAGUAGCAGCUCGUAGGUGGAUCGGAGGUCCUCGCGCUCCCGUACGGCGCCGUCUCGCUCGCUUUCGGCGCUGCACUGCUGACUCUGUAGCUGAGCGUUCUGGCCGACGAGCGCCGCGCUCUGAGAGUUCAGUGUCGAGUUCUCCACCUGAGAAGAGGUCAGAAGAAAAAACAAAAAACGUCAAGAUGUGUCUGCUAACAGAUCUCUAAAGGCUCAGGGGUCGAACAGGGACUGGAACCUAAACGCUGACACGGAACCUGAAACCCAACGGCUGACCACGGACAUUAGCGUUCUUAGCCGAUCUAUUGCUGGAUUAUAUAUACACACACACACACACACACACACACACACACACAAACACAGGAUAAACACACACACACUUGCUCAAAAUUGGCAUCAGGACCUACUGGUACUUGAGGGCGGAGCUAGCAGCACUGUUUGCUGCUGAUUGGUUACACAAACACUGAGUUUUUAGCGACAGAAAUAUUCAGUGAAUCGUCCCGUAACAACAAAUUCUUUGGUAAAAAUUCUUUGAAAACAACAACAACAACAACAACAACAACAACAACAACAACAAAAAUCACAGUAAAUUAUUCUGUAUCUACUAUCAGUGAAAUGAAUAUAAAUCUGGUCCAGGAACCCCGAGCCUGCUGUAGGUCAAACCAUCUGUGACUUAAUCUGAUUUAUUUUUAUUUUUUUUAUAAUUAAAAAAAAAAAAGAGCAGCUUUUAUUCGUGCGAGGACCUCGGAAACGAUCCGUCCACACAUCUGGAGCUGAGGCCAGGGUUUCGACUGACCCACAUCAGACUUAAUCUGCUGUCUGAUCUCAAUCCUGUAGAAACCAUGCCAGGUCCUCUUCAUUUUAAAUCCGUUCUACAUUUCUAGGUUUAAUCCAAGCGGUUAUUUCACAAAGCCCAGUUUUACACAUUCCCACACAACUCGGAUUUAUUCUCUGAAGGGUUUAAUGAAGGGUUUAUUUAUUUAUUUAUCGAAUGUCGAUAUCAUGCACAUUUUGGGGAUAAUUCAGAUUAUUAUAUUUCUGAUUAAAAAUAUAUACAUAUUCACAUAAUCCUACAUAGAAUACACAUAUGGUUAAAUUCAUCAUUUUAAAGCGAGUUUUUUUUUAUUUUAUUAAUAUAUAACAGAUUGGAUGGAUUUACUUCCAAAGGUCCAAUAUACAUAAUAAAAAAGUAUUUGAAGAAAAA